UCACAACAUUCGAAAGAGGCUGGGAAUGGCAACAAUGUAGCAACCGGGAGGUUGCGGUGGGUUCCGGCCCAGGACUCAGGAGGCAGGCUCCGCCCCCUCCCCGCCCAGAUGGGGAAACUGAGGUACGGCGGAGGUGUGACUUACUCGAGGUCUCCACUCAGAGCUAAGAAUAGAACCCAAGUCUCCUGGGCCCAUGCUCUCACCUCCUUCAUUUACAUGGUGCUACUGAAUAAACAGGACAAGCGAUGAGUGUGGAACUCUGUCACACUGACUAUGUAACAGCUUAAAUUCAGACUUGGAUUACUUAGUGAUGAUUAAUGAUUGCUUGCAGGAGAGUAGCCAACUGCAAUACAAUUUUGCAUUGUAUUAAACAUCUCAUUUUGCA